AACGAACGCUGGCGGCGUGCCUAACACAUGCAAGUCGUGCGAGAAAGUUCCUUCGGGAGCGAGUAAAGCGGCGCACGGGUGAGUAACACGUAGGUAACCUGCCCCCCAGUCUGGAACAACUAGAGGAAACUCUAGCUAAUGCCGGAUGAGACCACGAUCCCUUCGGGGGUUGCGGCCAAAGACGGCCUCUACUUGUAAGCUAUCGCUGAGGGAUGGGCCUGCGGCCAUUAGCUUGUUGGUGAGGUAACGGCUCACCAAGGCUGUGAUGGCUAGCUGGUCUGAGAGGAUGACCAGCCACACUGGGACUGAGACACGGCCCAGACUCCUACGGGAGGCAGCAGUGGGGAAUAUUGCGCAAUGGGCGAAAGCCUGACGCAGCGACGCCGCGUGGGUGAUGAAGGCCU
rnacentral:rRNA from 1 species